UACAUCAUGCCCCUUAUGACCUGGGCUACAAACGUGAUACAAUGGCUGAAACAAAGGGCAGCGAAGCAGUGAUGUGGAGCGAAACCCAAAAAAGCAGUCUCAGUUCGGAUUGAAGUCUGCAACUCGACUUCAUGAAGUUGGAAUCGCUAGUAAUCGUAGAUCAGAACGCUACGGUGAAUACGUUCUCGGGGUUU
rnacentral:rRNA from 1 species